GGAUCAUUCAAUUUGCAAAUUUUGCCUCUUAAAACUUUUUAUGCAAAAUUCUUUCAUUUGAUAUUGUCAUUAAGAAUGACAUUAGAAACGUUUAUGCAAUUGCUGGGAAAAUAUUCUUAAAAACGUUUAUAACAAUAACGCGGAAAAAACACAUGACGUUAUUGCCAAAAUAUUUUCGACGGCAACCAACAACGAAAGCAGGGGUUUUGCCCAUGGCUUCUUUGUUUCUUUGCCCUUGACCUCAGCAUGGAAGACGCCCAUUUGUGGUCAAAUUAGUCUUGACUAAAGCAUUACGGCAACAAAUAUUCUUUAAUAAUGAAAGCUAGAGUUGGAUUAAUGCUGCAAUUAUUACACCAUAGAGAAAAAUUCAGAAUCUACAAAUUUAAUGACGAGGAAUACGUGACUUUCAGACUUUCAGUCUUUCGACAUGCUGAAACCUUGCACACAAGCGUGUAAAAACAAGUUAUUGAAAGUGGAUGCUAUUUAUCAGACAUAAAUAAUUAAAUUCUUUUGAAUAAUAAAUGCGGAAGAUGUAGCUAAACAGAACAUGUGGAAGUUAAAUAGAACGCAACUGACUUGUAGAAGAUAGUAUUUUACAAAGAAGCGUAGAGGCUAGCGAACUAUUUCAGUUUAAUUAAUUGAUCUACGCUUAUCUACUGAUGGGAGUACCAUAUGAUUAUUGGAGAGUGGGGAUUCUGUAUGGCUUAGAGUCGAGCAAGAAUCUCAUUUGUAUAAAACCUCUGUCAUUCGGUGCUGGCCUUUUAUGAAACGAAGUAAUGCCUACAAACAUAUUGGAGUUAUUGCUGAGUCAGAUAGACAAGCAGCUUAUACCCCUGACCGUGCGUUGUGAUACCAACGAAACUUUUUAAAACAUUUGGUCGAUGGAACGUAGCUUUAAUCAAACGAUGUGGCCGAGAAAAGUAUCAUUCAACAUCCGUCAAUUUGCAGCAUUUGGCUGUGGUUCCUGUGCAUGCACAUACGCGAUGAUUGAGGGGUUAACGAAUACAGAGAAGAAAAAGUGAAGGCUCUAGCGUUGCACUUUUUGGCAUCCCUUGAAAAUGAUAAACUCUGGCUUGAAAAUUCUUUUAUUAUUUCAAGACCUCAUCAUAAACAUCCACUCAAAAAUGGAAGAACUAUUCUUAAAGUGGUUUUAUUGGUAACUAUGCCAAUAGCUUGACACGAUGAACGAGUUCUUUGCAGACAAAACAAAUGGAUUAGAAUUUAAAUACUACAAUACCCUUGUUUGUAGUCACGGACAAGGCGUAGCCCUGCCAUAUAGAUUUCAGAGUAAUACAACCAGUGAAAAUUACGGAUUUACGGUGAACAAUUGUAACUCGUUGCAGUAAAACAUGUAGAGCUAAUUGCAAAGGAUAAUGUAUGUACUAUUUUCCCGACUCCAUGCAGUCACACAGCUUCUUUUAGCAAGGUUAAUAAAAUAUAAAUCGUAACCUUA